AUGCAGGAAGGUCACCCACAGUGCGAAAGGGAGAGUGACGCUCGCCGCUAUAGAGGUGCAUAGGGUAUGCGUUAAACACUGGAAGUACAGCUCGUCUUUUAUAUUAUCUUUUGCAGACAAAAGAGAAAAAGAAAGAGAGAGGGGAUUCAGGGAAUGUAGACUAUUCGCUGUCUAAAACCCCCAAAGAGAAGAAUGCAGAAUGCCUGGUGCUCCAACCCCGUGAAUUGUAACCAAAGCGUCCAGGGAGCCUUCCCCCUACAGUCUGAAACCCCAGGAAAUAGUGAAGAAGGGAAUGGACGAGAUGGUAUCACUGUGGCGAGAAAACGUGUAGAGGUGAAACUAGUAAUGAGGAAAAAGGGAUGAGAUUGAAACAAUUAACAAAACGUUAAAUUGAAUGCCAGAUUGUUCUUUGACAAAAAGACCAGCCACCAUAAUGUGUGAUGCAAGCUCCCCUGAGAUGGUGAAUGGAUUACCUGUCAAGGAGGAGAGUGAAGUGUCACCCACUGACGACUGUAGCAUGGGGGGGAGAGAGAGAAGAAAUGGAUACACACUCCUUGAAUCGAAGGAAGAGGAAGAUAUCACAGUUAAAGAGGAAUGUUCAUGUGAUGAGGAACUUCUGGUUAUCGUUGAUCCUUUAUUAACUUUUCAGUGAAAACAGUGUAAGAAUGUGUUUGCCACCUAGUGUGACUUGGAUGUUCAUAUGAAGGAAAAGCAUGAGGAAGGAGAGCGUCUGCAUUGUAGGAAGUGCAGUGAAACAUUUCUUAAGGAAUGUGAACUGAUGUCACAUGCCAAACUUCACGGUCCAGGAAAGCCUUUUACUGAUAAGAGUUCUUCAUUAUCACCUGACCAGUUACUCCAACUGGUCACUCUGAUUAAAGAACGAGAAGGAAUACUCUUCAAGGGGAAAAAAUGAACCAAUAUUCCUUGCCAGAAGAUCACACAAAUGGGCAAAUAUAGCCUCACUCUUCAAUGCUAACAAUCUGGGGCAAGAGAGCCUGGAAGUACAUCUGUAGAAAACGUUAUGGCUUGCAGUGUGGAAGAUGCAGAGCUGGUGGAAGUUCUUGAUCUCCCUUCAGGUUCUGUUACCUCUUCUCAGUGUCUUCCUGCACCAUUAUCAACUACAGUUGUUGCCUCUAUUAUUUCUAUCCCUUUGCUUACAUAACCUUCAAAAACAGUGCCUUCUACAAGCCGUGUUCCUUUGUCUCUUUCUGUCCCCACUCCUGUCUCCAAAGUCUAUACCAUUGACGUGCUCUUCUUCUUUUACUUCUUGCUCUUUGACAUCUGCAUCUCAUCCUCUUUUGUCUGCAUCUUGUCCUGCUUCUAUUCCUAACCUUUCUUCAUCUACAUCUCAUUCUUCUACUACAAGGAAGAGGAAAGGAGAAGGCAAAGAGAGCUUCACCAACUGAAAGUGGAAAAAGCAUAUGAACAAAUCAACACCGCAAAGGAAAAAAAGGAGGCUUGUGUUACAAUACAGUCUGUGAAGGAAUUAGUCAAGACGUUUACAGGGUCCUUGACAGAAUAAAUUACUUGAAGCAAGGCAGCUGUUGCAGCCUCAGGAUUUCACCAAUGAUAAUUGAGUAAGAAGCUCAAGAAAGAGGGAGAAACCAACCAAAAUUACAUUGAUUUUCAUGAAUUUCCUGAUGAUGCAUUUUCCUAUUUAAUUUCCAUGAUUGUACAAACCAAAAAACAGUCAGGUUUAUGGUUAUACUUUGUAUUCUUUAAUAUUUAUGAGAAUAAAUAAUGU